rnacentral:misc_RNA from 1 species
CCUUCUAAAGGCAGACAAAGUGGGGAUAACUCUGACUGAAUCUUUAGCAAUGUUUCCGGCUGCCUCAGUUUCUGGACUGUACUUUGCACAUCCAAAGUCGGAGUAUUUUGCUACCGGAAAAUUACAAAAAGAUCAAGUAAGUACACACUGCAAUUGCAUCUUUAUUUUUUAACUUUAUAAGAUUUCUUGUUUACAUUCAAUAUUUUUAUUUUGCAGAUUGUUGAUUACUCUGCAAGGAAGUCUGUAGAUGUGUCUGUCACUGAGAAGUGGCUGAGUUCUGCACUAGCGUACGAUUCCUGAUAAAAGUAUUGCCUAAGAGUAUUAUACUUGCUGGAAAUUCAACUGAUUCAGUUGACAGUCAAAAUACCAACUUAUUACAGUGCAUUUCAUGUAAAAAUCCUACUGUGUAGGAGAAGAAGAUAUUGACUGUGCUUUAUGAUUAUGAUACAUUAAGGGUAUUAUUUCGCACUGGAGAUUUAACAGAUAGAGGGCUCUAUCGACAAACAAAAUACAAACUUAAUACAAUACCUAGCAUGUGGAAAUCCUACGGUGUAGUAGGAGAAUAUGUUGUCUUUGAUUUAUGACAUAUCUGAUAUCUGUGUACAUGUAUAUUGCAUGUAUCAACAUUGUCCAUGAAAACAAAUAAUUUUAUUAAUCAUGAUAUUAAAUAUGAUAAAAUUAAAUAUAAUAUUAAAGUAA